GUAUAGAUUUACAUUCCAAGGUCAAAAAUGUAAGAUGUUUCAAGGCGCGUCGUGUUUUAUUGUUUGCCUUUUGAAGUAUUUUCAAUACCCGUACAGUUCGGUGGGGUUAGCACUCUGAGAGUCGCUCGGAAGUUCAACAUGUCAUUUGGAAAAUGAAGAACGGACGUCAAGCUAAAAUAAUUCCGAGUCAUACAAGAGUUUGACAGAAUUCAGAAUUGCAUUUUAAGUACAUCAAAUGAGCACGUAACCACCCCACUUUUUCUCCCCAUUCCAGGUCAGCUGUAACGUCGUCAGCAUGGGUUUUAUUCUCUCCAAAUCAAUGGACGCAAACUUGACUAAGCAGCAAGAGUUUAUGUUGCAUAAUUCGAGACUCCAGAAGUGCCUGCUCACCUGGGAUAAGAAAAGUUGCAGAGGUGGAACUACUAUCAAAGCGGCAGGUGUAGUUGUUUUUCUGCGAUGAUGCCACCUGUAUCCCAGAUGUGAUUCUGUAGAGGCCCUCCUCUGUCGUCACGACGCUGGUGCUUGUGCUGGCGUUGAGAUUUCGCCCGUGACCAUCCUCCCAAGCCACCGUAGACAUCGGGUAGCCCUCGGACUGGCAGUUUAACACAAGCUUGCCUCCGGUUACCGUCUUGGAAAUCGUUUUUGUGACUGUUUUAUAA